AUGCUUGAUAGCCCGCAUGCUGAGGAGUUGCAACUUAGAAGACUUAAUUAUGGGGUGGUUACUUUGAUUCCUAAAACGAAAGAUGCUGCAACUAUCAAGCAAUAUCGGCCAAUAUGUUUAUAUUAUGUUUGUUAGAAAAUUGUGAAUAAAGUACUGACAAAUAGGCAUGAGAGAGUUGCAGAUAAGGUGGUGAGUAAGAGUCAGACGGCAUUUAUGAAAAACGGAAAUAUUUUAGAUGGGGUGGUCACUAUCCAUGAGGUGUUUCAUGAGCUUAGGAGGACUAAACAAGAGGGGGUCAUACUAAAGCUAGACUUUGAAAAAGCAUAAGACAGGGUGAAUUGGGAUUUUCUACAAGAGGUUUUGCUUAAAAAGGGUUUUCUUUAG
rnacentral:rRNA from 1 species